UUUACUGUAUUUUUGAAAAUUGCUGUAUGCUACUGUAUAUUUUCUAACAGUCUUUUGGCGGUAUUUUCCUUAUUCACACAAAUCCUUAUUUUAUUUUUCUCAAAAUCAUCAUUUUUGACAAUUGUAUACACACAGGCGUUGACUUAUUUUAGCUAAGGAACCAUGUAGCAGCACAGGUGUUCAGAGGACCGAUUUCAGGUGUGCACAUAAACUGAAGAGUUUUCAAACAAGACUUUAUGGACUUUCCCUGGGACAGCGGCGCUUUUCAGUUGAAGAUACACGAGAGGAGAGAAUGAAAAAAGACCAGCAAGGUAAAAUAGUUUAUAUAAGUUAUUUAUUAUCAGACCCGCGGUUGUUGUUUACCCGAACGGGACAUUUUAAAACCGUUAAACGGACGCGUUGCUUAACGUAUAACGGUAAUAUUAGUUUACCAAAGUCAGUAUAAACCUAAUAAAUAAAUCAUACUAACGUUCUGUGUAUGCACGCCUACGAGCACGCGCGGUGCGUUAAAUUACACGCUAGUGUUUUCCUUUUAUAAAACUAUUAUGAAGAAAUGCUUAACAUAGCCUAAUGUAUACGUCAAUGAUAUGAAAAGAUCAGAUUUAGUAUAUAACGUUACCUGAGAGAAUAAUUUAUUAAUAAAAAGCAUAUUUAACAAAGUACCCUAAAUUACAUGAAGCUGGGAGGAAAACUCUUAUUUGCAAGUUACCACGUUGUGUUUAUAUUCUCAUCCGCUUGGCUUUACCUGUUAAUUAAUUAUGCGUUAUUAAUAAGGUGUAUAACUAAAUUUUAUCUUUCAAAUUCGUUAAACUACGUUAAGCAUUUUAGAAAGUCCAUGUGAACAUAAUAAGAGUUUGCUUAACAUUUAGUUUUACAAACGACUUCAACGUAUGAGCGUAUGUUAUGUUAUGUGUUUGUGGUGGCCAAUCGGAAAAACAUUUUAUUUUAAAUGUGAAUAUGUUUAAACAUAAAGGCUGAAACCUAAUUAGCAUAAAAUAAAGUUUUAAAUGUGUUUUUCUUUUGUAUUACAUUGCUUUUGAGGCCAAGGUAGCUGUACAGUAAAUAUUCAGCCUCGAUCAGAAAACCACGUCCCACUGUCAUAACACACAGACCUGUGGCCAUGUGCAGUGAUUCGAGUAGUGUACAUCUACUCUGGUUAUCAUUUCAAAACAGUAUUUACUGAAAAAUAUGAGUGUUUAGCAUCAUGUAUUAAAUGUGUUAAAUAUGUCCUUUUUUCCCUGCAUUUAUUCUGCUGUCUAAAAUUCUUUGGGAGGAUAAACGAAGGAGGAUGUAACAAAAUACACUGAAAGAACUGGAAUGAGAGACAAGUGAGGAUGAAGAGGACAACAGAAUAUCCAUCCUUUCUUCACCACCUCACAGAGUUUGAGUGAAACAACUUGUAUUAGGACUCACAGGAUUAUUUUAUAACAAGACUGAUUAUUUUAUACCAGAAGUAUGGUAUUUUUUUGAAGCUACUGUAUUAUUUCUUAUGACAAUUCAUUUUGAUGUGCAUUCAGAACUGUAAGUUGUGGUAGUGGAUCAUGAUCACCUCUCUAGCUUCAAAAGUAGGAUGCAAAAUGUAUAACACCAAAUCAUUAAAGCAUAACUCCAUGUAACUUGACAUAAUUUAAAGUCGUAUAAAGGCAGACAUGAUUGGGUGUGUGAAGUCCUAUGCCAAAGACUCUCCAAAUACUGCAUCUACACAUUCUUCCUGAUGUGUAUAUUUUGUUGGUAUAUCCUGGUUGUUGCAGACCUGACAGUAAAUUUGACUGUGAGCAUCCUAUCCAUCAGGUAUGGCUGUUUACUUGCAUUACUCAUUUAGAGAAAUGAUGGGUCAAAAUUGAUUUAUAUGGAUUAUAUUUUCAUCACCCCUUUUUGUAUGUCUUUGGGACACUUGAAAUAUAUAGCACGUAUAAUGUGGAGCCAUUUUAUAAUGCGGUCACAGACUACUCCCAUUGUAACUGGAAAACCAAAGAAAAUCAUUGUUUAAAUUAUAAAAUUAUCAUUUUUGGAUUAACUAAACCUGUAAUCAGUGUUAAACGUAUGUAUGUUUAUAAUUUGUGUUAUUUUAAAUGUAUUACUGCAAUGUAUUACUAAAUGUAUUUGAAAUGUGUAUGGUUUAAAUGUAAAUUUCACAAAACUUCUUAAAGUAUUUGUAUUGUUUUAA